ensembl:lncRNA
GUUGCUCCACUCUGUCUGUCUAUAGACAUACUCUGUUGCUCCACUCUGUAUGUCUAUUGACCUACUCUAUUUCUCCACUCUGUAUGUCUAUAGACAUACUCUGUUGCUCCACUCUGUGUCUAUAGACAUACUCUGUUGCUCCACUCUGUCUGUCUAUAGACAUACUCUGUUGCUCCACUCUGUCUGUCUAUAGACCUACUCUGUUGCUCCACUCUGUCUGUCUAUAGACCUACUCUGUCACUCUGAGCCUCACAGUCUAGAUGGUACUGAUGGAAGAUCGCUUUCUCUCUCAGCUGAAGGGAGGCAGAGAGCGAGAGAGAGAGAGAGAGAGAGAGAGAGAGAGAGAGAGAGACACAGAGAGAGAGAGAGAGAGAGAGAGAGAGAGACAGAGAGACAGAGGGAGAGCCAGAUAUGGAGGGAAAGAGAGAGAGAGAGAUAGAGAGGGAGGGGUGAGAAGGAGAUUGUGAGGCACAAUAAGGGUGAUAGAGAGAGAGAGUGAAAUACAUCCACAGACAAAGAGUGACAGAGAAAAGUGAAUGGUAUGAGAGGUCUUUACUAGUGAAUGGUGGAUAUGAGAGGUCUUUACUAGUGAAUGGUAGAUAUGAGAGGUCUUUACUAGUGAAUGGUAGAUAUGAGAGGUCUUUACUAGUGAAUGGUAGAUAGCUGAGAGGUCUUUACUAGUGAAUGGUAGAUAGCUGAGAGGUCUUUACUUGUGAAUGGUAGAUAUGAGAGGUCUUUACUAGUGAAUGGUAGAUAGCUGAGAGGUCUUUACUAGUGAAUGGUAGAUAUGGCCAUAGCAUCAUGUCUUCCAGAUCAGAAAUAGUCAUUUGACUGGGCCUGUCUGUCUGUCUGUCUGUCUGUCUGUCUGUCUGUCUGUCUGUCUGUCUGGGCCGUUUAAGAAGCAUCAUGUCCUUCCAGAACAGAGACAGUCCUCUAACUGGGUCUGUCUGUCUGUCUGCCUGUCUGCCUGUCUGUCUGUCUGUCUGUCUGUCUGUCUGUCUGUCUGUCUGUCUGUCUGUCUGUCUGUCUGCCCUGGCUGUUUAAGAAGCAUCAUGUCCUUCCAGAACAGAGACAGUCCUCUAACUGGGUCUGUCUGUCUGUCUGCCUGUCUGCCUGUCUGUCUGUCUGUCUGUCUGUCUGUCUGUCUGUCUGUCUGUCUGUCUGUCUGUCUGUCUGUCUGUCUGUCUGUCUGUCUGUCUGUCUACCUUGGCCGUUUAAGAAGCAUCAUGUCCUUCCAGAACAGAGACAGUCCUCUAACUGGGUCUGUCUGCCUGUCUGUCUGUCUGUCUGUCUGCCUGUCUGUCUGUCCUGGCCGUUUAAGAAGCAUCAUGUCCUUCCAGAACAGAGACAGUCCUCUAACUGGGUCUGUCUGCCUGUCUGUCUGUCUGUCUGCCUGUCUGUCUGUCUGUCUGUCUGUCCUGGCCGUUUAAGAAGCAUCAUGUCCUUCCAGAACAGAGACAGUCCUCUAACUGGGUCUGUCUGUCUGCCUGUCUGUCUGUCUGU